rnacentral:rRNA from 1 species
UACGUAGGGGGCAAGCGUUGUCCGGAAUCAUUGGGCGUAAAGCGCGUGUAGGCGGCUUGGUAAGUCCGCUCUGAAAGCCCGGGGCUCAACCCUGGAAUGCCGAUGGAUACUGCGGAGCUAGAGUCCGGAAGAGGCGAGUGGAAUUCCUGGUGUAGCGGUGAAAUGCGCAGAUAUCAGGAGGAACACCAAUGGCGAAGGCAGCUCGCUGGGACGGUACUGACGCUGAGACGCGAAAGCGUGGGGAGCAAACAGG